rnacentral:rRNA from 1 species
AGGACGAACGCUUGCGGCGUGCCUAAGAAAUGCAAGUCGAGCGGGGGAAGCAAUUCCCUAGCGGCGAACGGUCGCGUAACACGUAGGCAACCUGCCCAAGAGACCGGGACAACACUUCGAAGGGGGUGCUAAUACCGGAUGCGGCUGCUUCCUCGCAUGGGGAAGCAACUAAAUCAUUUAUGGCUCUUGGAGGGGCCUGCGGCCUAUCAGCUAGAUGGUGGGGUAACGGCCUACCAUGGCGACGACGGGUAGCUGGUCUGAGAGGAUGGUCAGCCGGACUGGGACUGAGAUACGGCCCAGACUCCUACGGGGGGCAGCAAUUAGGAAUCUUGCGCAAUGGGGGCAACCCUGACGCAGCGACGUCGCGUGGAGGAAGACGGCCUUCGGUUGUAACUCCUUUUACCAGGGAAGAGCAAGGACGGUACCUGGUGAAUAAGCCCGGCUAACUCCGUGCCAGCAGCCGC